rfam:Oryza glumipatula chromosome 1, whole genome shotgun sequence.
UAUAAGUGCAACCAUAACUUUCCGUGCCUAACUUUAAUCGUCCGUCUUAUUUGAAAUUUUUUUAUAAUUAAUAUUUUUAUUAUUAUGAGAUGAUAAAACAUGAGUAGUACUUUAUGCGUGACUUAUGUUUUUAAUUUUUUUUCAAAAAAUUUUCAAAUAAGACGAACGAUGAAAAUUGUGCAUGGAAAAUCAUGGUUGCACUUAAA